UGGUAAGCAGUGGUUUUAUUAUGGUGGA
rnacentral:sRNA from 1 species